GAAAAAUCCAAAACCCUAGCGACACAAAGACAACUACACCAGCCAAUGGCAACGAAGCUGAGAGUGAAUCUUCUAAUAGAUACGCAAUCACGGAGGGUCCUUUUCGCAGAAGCUCGAAAAGACUUCAUUGAUUUUCUUUUCAGUCUCCUCACAUUGCCUCUUGGCUCUGUUACAAACCUCCUCACAAAGGGACACAUACGAAUGGUUGGAUGCAUAGGAAGACUCCAUGAAAGUGUCCAAAACCUAAGUAACUCUUACAUACAACCCAACCAAAGCAAGAACGACCUUCUCAAUCCCAAAAUAUCAUUACCUCUACAAGCCCCAAAUCCUUCUAUUUUCUUACAAAAUGACCCUUCAACAGCACCAACAAAGAGCACUACAUAUGUGCCAGUUGCAAGCCCACCUAUCGACCCUAUUUUACAGAUUUUAAUGACUUGCCGUGCCCUCAUUGCUACAGGAAGAUGUCAACUGAGUUAACCUACACUGGUCUCAAAAAUGGAUCGGACGGUGUUGGAUAUGUGAAAGGUGAAGUGACUUAUAUGGUGAUGGAUGAUAUGAUGGUGACUCCCAUGUCUACUUUUUCAACACUUGCUCAACUCAAGAAGUUAAAUGUUAGGGAUGUGAGUGUUCUUGAGGAGAAUGUGGUGGAACUGGGCAUGGAAGAGGGAUUGGCUUUGUUAAAGGCUUCCUUACUGUCCAAGACAGUGCUCACCGAUGUAUUCCUUUCAAAGGUAGUGAAGGAGGAGAAAACUGAUCAUUGAUGGAUCCACUGUUGCAGAACACAUGUUUGGAGGGUUCAGAUCAGUUAUUAGGAGCUAUGCUAGAAAUUCGUAGUUACCAUCUAGCAGAAUUUUAUGCCUUAUUUACGUAGCUUAUAUAUUGCUUUGAACACUAACAAUAAUAUCAAAUGCCUAGAAAUGAGGGAGACUCACUGAAGGUGGUUAAUGCCAGCAAGAAUGUCUAGAGCCAACAUGGGAGGAAUGGAAUUUGGUCAACAAUUGCAGGUGCUUGCUUAGAAGACUCACAGAAUGGGAAUUCUCAUGCUUAUGCUUAUAGGGAAGGUAAUGCUGCUGCGGACUCUCUCUUGGGUAGGGCCACCGACAAUGGGACAUCUAGCUCCCGUCAAACUUCAUUCUCUCUCUUCAGGCUCCAUUUCAUAUUUCAUGGCCUGUUUGAUUUUCCACGUCAAUGGUAAAUACUUUGUAAAUGGGUAAUAAUUAUUUACUAAAGUAAUUACUGCAUAA